CCGCGAGGGGAUGUCUAGAGGACGCCCAAGCGCAAAGGUGCGAGCCGACGGACAGAAACCGCAUAGAAGGCUUAGUCCCUGGGUGAGUCCGCACGAGAUGACGAAACCCAUCAGGUGCAGGGGAUAGGGUCAAUGCGGCGGUUGUGCACUGAAAGUUCA
rnacentral:ncRNA from 1 species